CGGACCCCCUGGGUCGGGGGUCAGAUCUCGGGUCACGGCCCCCCUCCCUGCGGGUCACGAUCCCCCUUCCCAGGGUCACGGCUCCCUCUUUCUGCAAGGUCUAAAGACUCCCUAUCCCCCACCGACGGUCACGGCCUCCUCCUCCUCCGUGGGUCCUGAGCCCCACUCCCCGAGGGUCAUGGUCCCCUCCUCCUUGAGGGUCUAAAGGCUCCCCACCCUCCAUGGAGGAUUAUGGCCCACUCCUUCUCGUGGGUCAUAGCACCCGUUCUUCUGGAGAGCCUCCUCCUGGGUCACAGGUCUCCCCUGCUUGAGAGUCUAAGGACCCCCCCCCCCCAAUUCCCCAUGGAGGGUCCACAGCCCUGCAGAUUCUAGCCUUCUCUUCCGGAGCCACAGAGCCUCCUUUCUGGGGUUGGGAGGAGCUGCCUCCUUGCCCUCCACGGAGACCCCUCUGCCAGCUGUCAGUGCCUGCUAAGGCUCCUGACCAGGGGCGGCCUGGGGGUGUUGCCAGGCAGAGCUCCCUACCCAGAGGACCCAGGGCCCUGAGACCACAGCCGAUGCCUGAGAACACUGGGUGAAGCCAGGUGGGGAUUCCUUACCCCUCACCCCCAGCUGGGGAAUCCCACUCACUGCCAAGCUUUUGGUGGGUGAGUGGUCUGGGUAGAUGCCAGCCCUCCCUGGCUGGUAAUGACCCCGUGCUGGGCAGCCAAGCUGUGGGAUGUACACACAGUGCCUGCCCAGAGACCCGGCUGCCUGUAGCCCUGAGGGAGGGAGGCCUGGCCACAGGGACGCCAGAUUGGCCUCAGUCUGGAAGGCUGGAAAAGGGGCUGCGCCUGGGCAGAGCUGGGGAGUGGCACGGACCCUUCGCAGCCCUCUCCCCGAGUAACCAGGCUGUACCAGUGGAGCCCUAGGUCUGGGGUCAUGCCAAGCCCAAGAGCCACCCCUGCCACUGAGCCACUGCUGUUUGAGUGCAGGGCAGGGCACCUGGCUGUGGACAUUUCCUUCCUGCCUGGGGAUCCGGAUUCCACACACCCAGUGACUGGGGUGCCUGGUCACCCGGAACACCUCUGAGUUCCUCUUUGGUGAUGAAUGCAGAGCCCCAGGGUGGGGUGGGAACGACUUUGCUCGUAAGAUGGCCUGGGAGUCCGAUAUCCGUGGACCGUGUCACCCCUCUCCAGUUCAGAGCUCUUUCCUCUUUGGUCUCCCUUGUCCAGAGGUGGAGAACCGGAAGCACCCCAGCUCUGCAGGGGAGCCUGCCGCCCCAGCCUCAGUGCUCACGUGGUGCCCGGUCCCCCAGCCCUGCUGAUCUGUCUCUAAGCAGACUAGAAAGGGGGCUAGGGAUUGGCCCAUGCACACCCAGGGACAGCAGGAUUCUUAUAAAACCGGACACCCGUGUUCUAGAAGCCCAGCCCUGGGGGGCUGACCAGUGUGAGGGCAACACCACUCCUCCGUGCACCCCACGAACUUCACCUGGGGUGGCUCUGCCACACCUUUCCCCGGGACUCUGCUUCCACAGAACAGGACAAUGUACUUUACUUUAGCAAGUUCUCUGCCACUUGUCAGCUCUGAAGCUCCAGGGGUGCCCGGGGUGUCUGUGACCCACGUGGGGCUUUCCUGCUGGCCCGUGGGCUGCCACCUGCCCAUGCUGCCCACCACGGUUGAACUGGCUACCAUCCCUCUUGCCCUCCGAGGCUCCCGGACAUGCGGUGGGAAGUGAGCGAGGGGCCGAUGCCUGCAGCCCGUGGAGGCGUCAGGAGUGGUGGCCAGGCCCCUCUUUGCUCAGCCCAGCCUCCCGCAGGGCCCUUUGCUCCUGAGAGGGCCCUGGUUUCUGCCGCGGGGGAGGCUCUGACUCACUCUCUCCUCCUCUCCCCGCGGAGCAGAAUUAGCUGCUGAAUAAUUCACGGUGUGGAAAGCAGCCUGGCUCCGUCCCCCGCCACCUCGCUGCUGGCUCGGGGCUGUGGAGCUAGCUGGACCUGGGAAGACCUGGGAGUCGUCCUGCCCCUACCCUCCUGUGCUGGUGCUUUUGGGCAAGCACUUGACCUCUCUGAGCCUUCACUGCCUCAUUCCUGAAUCUGGGCCGGUGCGCCGUCUUUGCAGGGCGGGUAGGGAAGUGAGGGCCCCGUGCUCCUGCUCUGUGUUGGGUGUGCAGCCUAAAGAGCUCCCUUUCUGGGUGGAUGGGCGAUGGUUUGGCGUGGGCCCUGGCCUAGGGCCUCUUCCUGCCUCCCCUGGGGGAGCAUUCCUAGCUGUGGGGGCAUGGCCGCCCUCAUCCCGCUGGUGGGUGGUGGACCCCGUAUGCUCCUGACUUGGGGCACCCCUCUUGGCCUGGGAGCCUGUCUGUGUCUGGCACCCACCUGGGCUGCAGGGGCCUGGCAGUCUUCUCCCCACACGUGGGCUGGGCCCAGCCGGGGAGGGGCUUCUGCUUCCCAGGCCGCCCAGAGGAAGCAGGGGCCCUGAUGCAGGAGUAGAGGGGUGGUAUGGCCUGGGGAGACCAGCUGUUAACCUUCGCUCUUUCCUGCCCACACCAUCCACCGCUGGGAGCCCGGUGAAACCCACUGGAAACCCCAUGGGCCAGACCCUGUUUGGGGGUGCUGUUUGGAGCUAUCGCUAGCCUUUUCUCACACAAAUCUGGAAGAUGAGGGCAGUCGUCUCCAUUGUACAGAUUAGCAAACUGAGGCUUAAAGAGGAGAUUGGCUGAGAAUCACAUAGGGAGUGGGUGGUAGGGCCGGAAUCCUGCUUCAGGCCCCUUGCCCCUGCCCCCCUAGGAGCCAGAGUCAGCCUUGGGGGACAGGGGCUUCCUGAGUCCCCGAUGGCUGGCCCCCUGCAGGGGAUGUCACUGAGGGAUUAGGUGCCGAGGGAGGCUGUUCUGCAGGCUCUCAGAGCCCUGGCUGGCCCUGUGCUAGGGGCUUGGAGCCUCUGCAAGAGCAGGGAUCAGGUUUUGCAUCCUAAAGGCUUGUGAUUUCUCUUGGCCCCGUAUUCCUGAGGCCUCCACCCUGGAGAGGAGGGGCUCCCUGGCCACGACUUCUGUCUCUUGGGGGCCCAUGCUGUUCGCUGAACGGACAGACUGCAGGAGGGUGCUGCUGCGCGUUCUGUGGGGCCUGACGGGAUGUGCGGGCUGGCAGGUGCUGGAAGGGGCAGAAGGCUUCUGGGGUCUGCUGUGUGCCGCCCCACCCCCGCGCCUGCCUGCUUGGCUGCCGGCCUGGCUCCCCUGGGACUGGGCUAUUCCCAGCACGCCAGGAGCUCCCCAAGCCUGGGGCAGCUGAUGGGCGGGAUGCUCGUUUUACAGGGGAGGGGUCGCAGGCCCAGAACAGGGAGGAGACUCCCUGGUGGUUGCGUAGCCUGUGACCUGAUGUGGCUUGAGGCCAGUCUGUCCUCCGUGGUGAAGGUCAGGGCUGUCAUGGCUGCAGGCGGCGGGUGGGGGGAGAGUCUCAGAGCCCUCUCUGCAGACCGGCGUGCGGGUGCCUGGCUGCGGGGUGCCCAGCCUGGGCUCGAGUUCUGUAGCUUCCCGCCUGUGUGACCUUGGGUGGGUCCAUCCACCUCUCUGGGCUUCACCUUGGGGAUCUGCCCCCUUAACUCCUACCAGCCCUUCCCGACUCCCCACUCCCAAGCCUCCCACACCCCUAGCGUCCUGAGGCCGAGGUCACACUCGCUGUCUGCCCUCAGUCCCUCUCGUUGUCACUCACUGUCUCCCCCAGUUAAGGGGAGACUGGAAGCUGUGAGCUGGAGGACAGUACAGGCUGGUGUGGUGGUGCUGCGAUCGGGUCAGGACUAGGCCUGCGGAAGUCCAACAAUCAGGGAAGGCUUCCUGUAGGAGGCGCUACCUUGCCUGCCAUGGAGGCGGUGAGCCAGGCUCUGAACGACCAGAAGGCGAGGACCUGCCUGGAGCUUGGCGUGCAGUGGGCAUAGCAGCUCACCUUCCACGUCGGCCCAGUGUGUGGGGCCCUGAGUGCUUUGAAUGUUCCCAUCGAGACCCUAAAGAUAAGACCGAGGUGGCUGUGCAGAGACCUUGGGGAAGAGAGUUCUAGGCGUUGGGAACAGCCCGUGCAAAGGCCCUGAGGCAGAGAGAAGCCUGGGCCUCAGCCCAAGAUGAGGGAGUCCCUCUGAUCUGAACAUGCUGCCUCAGAGCUGGUGAGGGCUCUGUGCCCGGGGUUGUGUGAGGCCAGCCUGGAAGGCCACUUAGGCAGGACCCACAGGAGCCAGUAGUCUCCUAGCAGAGACCACAGCACCCUGGUUUAAUGCUGUGACUCAAGCAGGGUCAGCGUGUGCCUGUGAAUGAGACUGGCUCCGUUGGCACCAUCUCCACAAUCGGGAGGAAAUUCACUCUGGUUAAAAACAGCAUUUAUCGCCUCUCUUCUUGUUUAUGAAAGUAAGACACAUUCAUGGAACACUUGGAAAAUAGGAAAGAGUGUGGAGACAGGAAAAAAAAGUCCCUCUAGCUGGAGUCUGUCCAUGCGCUUAUACCUGGGGAGGGGUGCCACCUAAGACUAGAAUUUGUCACCGGCUUUUAAACAUCAUGUCUUUUGGACCAUGUCCUUGGUCCAUGGUUCUUGGUGCUUGCCCAGCAUCCCACGACACCAGGAUUCUGAGGCUGCAAGUGACAGAAACGUGCCAAACGUAACAGAGCACACCGAGGGGCUGCGUGGAAGCUUCUAGAGCACGCCCUGCGUGGACAGCAGCUCCAGUGCCCCGGCGCUGGGGAGAACCGACUGUCACGUGGCCCUUUGGCUGGGAGGUGAGGCUGCUGGCUGCCUCUGCCACCAGGUCUACACCCGCUGAGAGGUAGGUGUUGGGGCCAGACUCUUGCCUGGCGCUGGUGUGGGCUCUGCGCCGCCAGGCCCCAUCUUUGGGCCUUUCUGGGGCUCCUGGUUUUCUCGGGUCUGAAGAUGCGGUGACCAGCUCUGUCCCCAGCACUGCACUGCCCUGCCUGGGGGACAGAACAGCUGGGAGGGCGCCUGUUUUGGCUCUGACCAGGGGCUCUUGGUCAGGCGCUGGGCUGGGUGCUCUGUGUCUCUGACCCCCAAGUUACAGCUGCUCUACCGAAGAGGCUCAUGGCGUUUGUUUAGUAAGCUGUUUGUUUCUGGGAAGCCAAACAGUAACACUACAGAAGUGAAACUGAGGCCCCUGGCCAGCCAGCAUCAGUGGGCUGGGAGACACGGACAGGCUCCAGCUCCAGCCCAGCGCUGCCCUGCCUGCGGCCACAGCCCCUGUGCGCUUUCCGAGUCUGGUCCCCCCAGCAGGAGCUAGUCCAGGAAGGCUCAGAGGGUGUUGGGACCAGACCCCCACUGGCCAAGGCAGCUCUGCUGAGUCCUUGGCUGGAGAGGAAGAGCCGAAUCUGCAGCCCAGGGACUGGAUCACAGAGAGAGAAAGUGCCCCACGUGGCCCCCGAGGAACUGGGACACGUGACAGAGGGCGGGUGCAGCAGGACCCAGGAGCGCCUGGCUGUGCCCAUUGCUGCCUCCUUGGAUCUGCGGGGAGCCCACCCUAAGCCCUGUGCUGGGCCGGGACACACACAUGGCCCCCAGGCGGCUCUCAGGGGCUUCCCAGGAUCUUGGGGAGGGUGAGGACCCAGACCCACGGUCGGGUUGCUGCACGGCACACACCAGGCCCUGUCGCCCAGAGCAGGGAGCCACCCGCUGGCGAGGCUCUCACGGCACACACCAGGCCCUGUCGCCCAGAGCAGGGAGCCACACGCUGCCAGAGGUGGGAGGUACUUUGCAGAGGACAACUGUGGCUAAGGUCCCAGGCCUGCCCGGGGGUCCCUGCUGCAGAGGGGAUGCAGAUGCCCCAGAAUUGGGUCUGCGCCUGCCCUGCUGGACUCCCGAGGGGCCCAUGCACCGCUGACAUCUGCCGAGGCAGCGGGUGCCCUUCGUGCCAUGGACGGGGCUGUUGGAGGCUGCAGUGGGCCUCCAGGCCUCCAGUCCAGUGUCAGGGGCAGGACAGGGCCUGCGCCUGGUGCCAGCUGGCCCUGAGGCUGCUCGGGUUCUUGUCCAAAGUCGGGGCAGGCGCCCGGUGUGCCCUCAGGGAGCAGGGCCAGGGGAGGGUUGAGUGACUUCCUGGGCUGGGCCCGGUGGAUUUGAGGGGUGCCAGGGUCUGCACGUGGGCUGGGCAGGCUUCCGGGGGGGCGCUGCCUCCCUCCACACUGCCCCCCACUCAGGGCCUGGGCUCUUCACGUGCCGCUGGGCUCGUGCACACACGCAGGUUGCAGCCCCCGCUUGGUGCGCUCCUCCCCCUCCUGGGAGGUGGCUGGCUGAGGCUGGGUCCCCUCAGAGGGGCAGGUGGGCUCUGAACGGUAGGUGUGCCAAGGGUGCUUGGUUUUGUCCGCAGCACCCUCUAGGGCCAGGCGUGUCCUGUGUUGGCUGAGGGCAUGGGGUGAGGCCGGGCUGCCCAAAGCCUGAGUGGCCCCUUGCUUCUGCCUCUGAGAAGAGCGCCAGGCGCGGUGCCACUCUGCCCGGCUCCCCCGCUCCCCUGCCCUGGCCCCGUGCGCCCUGGGCUGGGUUCCUGACCGUUGUGAGGGGCCCUCCAGACUGCUGACCCCCGAGUCGGGUUGGGCUGUGCCCCAGGGUGGAGACGAGCCCUGGGCUGGGCUCUGGCCUGGACGAUGAUGUGACCGCCCGUCUGGUAGCUCCUGGCUACACCUGAGGCCUGUCGCGUGCGCCCCCAGGAGUGGCGGGUGGAGAGGCGCUUGCAGACAGGCUGGUGAAGAGCAGAGGAGUUUUCUGGGUGUCAUGCUGGGAGACGUGUUAGGGCAUCGGACCGAAAUAGACACGCUCGCGGCUUCGAGGGCCGCGCCAGCGCCGUGUUCUCUGGUGUCUUCCCUCCGCCAGCAGGCGGGGCGUGGGCAGUGGGAGAGCGGGGCCUCGGUGUCCUUCCACGUGGCCCACAGGCCUGGAGGGCAGCAGGAGUGCCGAGCCUGGGGGAUGACCGACCAGAGCUUCUCUCUGGGGCUUCACCCAAGUCCCGCCUCGCUGGGCCUGUGUCCCGGUGAUUCCUGGCGGGGCAGGGCGGUGUGUGCCCGUGAGGAUGGAGGUGCAGCUGGAGUGUGUCUGUGAAGCCUGGUGGCCUGGACCUAGGACCUCAGGGUGAGGGGACUUGGCCAGAGAGCUGGACCCCUCCCGGGCUGCUGCAUGCUGGCCACUGGCUGUGCUUUCUCCAGGCAUGGCCACGAGCUCACCAUCAUGGAAUUUGUGAAACCCAAGCCUGGCUCGGUGGAAAAUCUGUUUUUAAUUUCUGGCCGGCAUCUGGGAGCCACAGCCAAGUGUGUUCGGGCUGGGGAGCAGCGGGCUGCACACACGGCUCAGCUCCACGGCCCUCAGCACCCAGCCAGCCUGGCCCAGGGGGUGAGGGGGCCUCUUCUGGAACUUUCCUCAGGAGGCCUGUGCUGGCCCACACCCUGUCUCCAUUACUCAAGUGUGGGGGCCCUGGGUGUCCCUGCUGGCCCCAGGCCCCUGGCCUGGAGGAUGGGUGUCACCCCUGCCCUGGAGGAUGGGUGCCACCCCUGGCCUGGAGGAUGGGUGCCACCCCUGGCCUGGGGGAAUGGGUGUCACCCCUGGCCUAGAGGAUGGGUGCCACCCCUGGCCUGGAGGAUGGGUGCCACCCCUGGCCUGGGGGGUGGGUGCCACCCCUGGCCUGGGGGAUGGGUGCCACCCCUGCCCUGGGUGGUCUGGGGACCAACAAGGCCGUGUGUGUAGCUUGGCUACAGUGGGUGCUGAGGCAGAGGGCCAGCGCUAGGGGAGGGGGCAGUGCCAUGUGGGGUGCGUCCUUCCCAGUGGGAGACCCCAGACGUAGGAGCUGUGGCAGCAGCUCAGCCUGGUGCCCCUCCCCUUUCCUCUCCCAGGCCCAGGGCUCCAGCCAGGACAUCUCUGGGUUCCUAGAGGGUACCUUGGGGUGUGGGACGCUGCCAGCCUCCUGGACGCCCUGACCUGGUCUCUUCCUCUGGAGAAGGGCCUUUGGCAGCCCCAGGGCUGAGGUGGACAAGCCCCAGAGGCACUGGAGGGGUCUAUGGCUCCCCCUUCCCACUCCAUCCCUAUCUACUGGAGCCACCACUCCGCUGCCUUGGUCACAGCUGCCAGGGCCUCCCAGGACGCAGGUCUGCAGCCUGGACCUGGUGCUGGGCCCUCACUGACACUGUCCCGCUCUGGGAGCGCUCACCCCACACCUCACCGCGCCCUGCCGGCACCCGCUGACCCUGUAAUGGCAGUUUAGGGCACCCCCGGAAGCUCCUGCACCCCUCCCCCGAUCUCCCUGGUUCCCACAGUUUGUGCUUCCAGGCCUGCACUGCUGGGGUCUUGGGAGAUGCCAGCCCACCAGGAGCUGUGUCUGCGGGUCCCAUGCCCCCGUCCCCAGGGCCAGGCCUGGCGCUGAGUAUGGACGCCUUGUGUGUAGUGGUCCUCGCUCGGGCCAGCUCCGGAGGCCCUGUGCGUGGUGAGGCCGGUGUGACCGACAUGAGGACACGGGAGUGCGGGCCGGUGAGGUCCCAGGUCCCUGGUGGAAUUUGGACUUGCCUCCUCUUUGGAGCUUGCUGUUUACCAGCUGGCCAGGCCACCUCCCCCGGAGAGUUGGUACAGGGGGAGGGGGUCAGCCCUUCUCCGGGGGCUCCCGCUCUGGCAGGCACACAGCCCUCCCGAGUCCCUCCCAUCCGCCCGGCAGCGGUGGGACCUCAGGCUGCGGUCACGCCCCCGGGCUGGGAUCCCGGCCCCACCCCACUAGCACAUGACCUGAAGGAAGAGCCCGAUCUCCCGGAGCCUACCCAAGUCACCCCUGGACUGCUGGUCCCAAGUCUCCCUGCCAGCGCCAGCGCCUGGGUGCACGUGAUUUCCCACAAGGAGGCCCCGCCACUGGGACGGCAGGGUGGCGGGGAAGCGGCCUCUGGCGCUGUGCUUGGGGCAGCCAUGGGCCCACACUUCCCAUCAGAACCUCCGUGAUGGUCUCCCAGUGGGGCGGUGUCUCCCCAGCCUGGCCGCGGGCUUUGGUGGCCUGCAGAGGGGCUGAGUGGACAGGCCAGCUCUCGGGGUCAGUUGCUGAUGGCACGGCAGCGGCUCUGCCGGCAGGGGUGCGUGUUCGGCAGGCAGUGUGUCCAUGCUUCUGAUGUGCUCCCCGCGUGUGGCGUGCUCCCUCGCAGGCUUCCGUGCCACGUGCUGCCAGGACGCCUAGCUGAGCUGCCUGUGCAGGUGACACGUGGAGGUGCUGCCCCAGGGUCACGCGUGGCCCUGGUGGCCUGGGGCCUCCUGGUGCAGCCCGAGCCGGCGCUGUGUGGUGCGCAUACCCAUGCGCUGACAGCCCACACCUGGGCUGUGCCGAAGGAGCAGAGCGGGUACGGGGUGGGGGCCGCAGCAGGUCGUGGUGGGGACAGGCCUCCAGCCUUGUGCGCUCUCACGCUGUGGCCUCCCGGCUGCGAUGGGGCUCAGCCUCUGCUGCACGGGCUUUUAUUAGUAAGAUUUGGUGACACACCAUGGCCCUCCCCUUACAGGGCCGGCUGGAUAGCCCCCUUGUAGCUGGACUGCCAGCAAGUCUGAGGCUGAGCUGGGGAUCCGCCCACCCUGUUGGGACCACCCACCUGCACAGGGAGCCCGCUGAGGCUCACACAGAGACCACCUCUGCCCUCGGGCCCCUGUCCCUUGUCCCCUCGCCGGCGCUGGGAGGACCCGCUGGAGGCCAGGGACUUGUCAGGUCCCCUGAUAGGCCUCAGAUUUGGGCCUGGGCCUGAAAUGGGACGGAGUGAGGCUUCAGACCCUGAGCUCUGGCUCAUCAGGUGUUUCCAGAGCCGGUGGGGACUUUGGGGGCCUUAGGGCCUGGGUGGAGCGCCUGGACACAGGGCCGGGCAGGGGCCUCCUUGGUGGAUACAUUCCACGGCCGGGGCUGCAGGGCCUUGGGACCGGUGGGGUGGGCUGGGGCUGAGAAACAGCAGCUGUAGGGCCGGGAGGAGUGGGUGGACGGGCCCCCAGCCCCGUGCACGUGUGUCCGCGCCAAGUCCUCACAGCGCCGUGCUUGAGGCGCGCUCAGGUGGCGGGCGGCCAGCGCUGUGGCCCGCGGUCAGGAUACGGGCCCCAGCGCCUUGUCUCGCCUGACUGAGUGCUGACAUCACUUCCAUCACAGACGGAAAAUUCCAUUUGGUCAGAGCCCAGAUGCUGAUCAAACAUUUCCCAUUCAGAGGGGACGCCAGGCUGUUGAAAGGGAAGGCGGGGCCGCCACGGGAACGCCAGGGGAAGGCUGUUCUCUGGACGAGGGCAGAGGUCAGGCCGCCCGGCCCCUGGGCGGGAGGAAGCAGCUGCCCACUGCCGUGCGCCCCAGGCCUGGCUCCGGCACGCACGUGGGCUCUGCUGCUCUGCAGCAGUGGGCUGGGACCCUGUGUCAUCCAGGAAGAGGGUGCUGUCACCUCUCCACAGGGCUGAGUGAGGCUGUCCUGGUGGAGGCCCCGCAGCCUGCCUCCCGGGGCUGUGCCAGGGGCCCACGAGCAGCCCAGCGGGGUCCAGGUUUAAGGCUGGCCUCGUCCACGAGGAAGCCGUCCUGCCAGAGAGAAAGCUGCCCCAGCCUGUCAGAGCUUGGGGUGGGGGGCAGGGGCCCCGUGUUUCUGAGUGUCCACUGUGGGCCAGGCCUCAGGGCCAGAGGGGGCACCACCCCAGCUAAAUUGAUGAGCUUAGCGAGGCCUUUCCAGCGCCCCCUAGGGGAGGUGUGGUCAGACAGACCCGGCUCUUAAAGGGUGGAAAUAGGGCCCUGUCAUCACGGUCAGGAAGGGCUUUCUGGAGCUGGGCAGACAGCACAGGAGGGGAGGGGGCGGAACCCCAGCUGCCCGGACGCCUGGCUUCCUGUGUGUUGGGCUAAAGGGGUGACAUAUAGCACCUGGGUCUCUGCCUGUCCUUGCCUUCAGGGAAGCCUCUGGAAGUCACUCUCCUGUCCUCAGGUACCCCUCCUGGAGCCCCGGGACACACUCUCACCCUCAAGGCCCUGGACCCGGGGCUCCUCGGCGCUGGGCCUGCCUUGCCCCUGCCUGUCACUUGUUCAGCCCGCGAGGCAGGGGUGGAACAGGAGGCUCCUCCCCCAGGGCUGUGACUCUUAGGGCCCCCAGGCAGGUGGCUGUGCCUGUGCGUGAGGCUGCCCUCGGCUGGCUGACGCCUCUCUCGGCUCCCCGUCGCCGGCAGGGGUCCGAUGCCCAGGUGCUUGGGAACCCCUCCCCGCCUGCCCCCCCCCCCCCAGGACCACAGAGCUUCUAGCCACAGGCUGCUGUUGGCGCUGCUGCUGGGAGCUCAGGGGCGGCAGCUUCACGUGUGUGGGUGGGCGUGAACGUGCACACGCCCACUUUGUCCGUGAGUGGCCUGGACUCCCCCCCAGCAGCUGGGACAGCGGCUCUCUUUCCCCAGCCCACCUGGCUGCGUGGGUAGAGCUGGCCUGGGAGCAGCACCCCGAGGGCUCCCCACAGAGGCACUGUUCUAAGUCUUUAUGGGCGUUAGCUCAUUUCAUCUCACAGCAGCCCUGCUAGGUAAGGGAGUGACGCCACUGUCCCUGUUCUACACGCGGGGAAACUGAGGCACAGGGACACUGACCCACGGUCACAUUCUAGAACCAGGCAAAGCAGCGUUCGAACCCCAGCCCUCUGGUUCCCCUCAAGACUAGCCACCCCUCUGGGCUGGGCAGGAGCCACUCCCUCACACCUCUGUCCAGCAGCAGGCUGCCUCCUGGUGGUGACACCCGGGGUGUCCCUACCCUCGACCUCUGCUCUUGGGGGACUGGGCACCAGCAGGGACUGCAGCAUCGCCAUAAGCCGGCCCUUCUCCCACGUGACAGCUGGGAGGGACUGGGAAAUGUCACAUUCCCAGAAGAGGAAGCAGGGCCUGCGGGAGCCGCAGUGGCUCUCACGUGGCAGAGCUGGGAGCAGGCCAGGGGCCUCCCACGGCUGGCUGAAAAGAGCUACUGACAGGUUUCUGGGUUCGUGUUUUAAUUAUAAAGGUAGUAUGGUUCGUGGUUUAGGGGAAAAAAAAAAAAAA